CCCCUCUCAUCGCGGCACAGGCGCAGGCGAGCGGCCGUCCGUCCAGGCGUCCGUCCAAGCGAACUGGUUCAAUCGUCCAGGCGAGCGGCCGUCCGUCCAUGCGUUGGAUUCCAAGAACCGAUGGACAAGGCGACCAAGCUUUUGAUUUAUGGUGCUUCAGCACACUUGUUGUUGUCCAUGAUGGCCAUGGUUAUUGAGUCUAGAAAAAGAAAAAGAGAUAGUAGAAGAGUCGGUAUUACUUAUGGGCCAAUGGAGUAAAGGGAUAGGAUGAGACUUGAUUAUCUUAACACUAAAAUAUGGAUGAGUGAUACAACAUGUGUGAACAUGCUUAGACUUGGUAGGUCUAGUUUCUUUCGCUUUUGUAAGGGCUUUAGAGACCGAGGUUUACUUGAAGAUACAAUACACAUGUGUGUUGAGGAACAAGUGGCCAUGUUUUUGAACACAGUGGGACAGAACCUUAGGAAUAGGUUGGUGGGAACAAAUUAUGGUAGAUCUGGUGAGACUGUUAGUCGCUACUUCAACAAAGUGCUUCGUGCUAUUGGAGAGCUACGAGCUGAACUUAUUAGGCCACCAUCAUUAGAGACUCCAUCCAAAAUAGCAGGAAAUCCAAGAUGGGAUCCCUACUUUAAGGAUUGCAUUGGAGCUAUUGAUGGCACACAUAUAAGAGCUUCGGUUUCCAUAGAUAUGGAACCUUCAUUUCGUGGUAGAAAGUCUUAUGCCCCUCAAAAUGUAAUGGCGGUCGUUGAUUUUGAUCUUCGAUUCACAUAUGUCUUGGCUAGUUGGGAGGGUUCAGCACAUGAUGCUUUAGUACUAAGAGAUGCUUUAGAGCGAGAGAAUGGCCUUCGUGUACCACAAGGAAAAUUCUAUCUAGUGGACGCUGGAUAUGGAGCCAAACCUGGAUUUUUGCCCCCUUUUCGUGUUGUCCGGUAUCACUUGAAUGAAUGGGGAAAUAAUCCGGUACAAAAUGAGAAGGAGUUGUUCAACCUUAGGCACUCGUCUCUUCGUGUCACCGUAGAGCGUGCAUUUGGUUCACUGAAGAGAAGAUUUAAAAUACUUGAUGAUGCCACACCAUUCUUUCCAUUUUCUAGUAUGAAACAUAGAUUGAUGAGGGAGAUGUUAAUGCUGUUCCUAGUCCUAUAGAUGAUAUUGGGGCUUCAUCCUCAGCUCCUAGACCUAGGAAGAAGGCAAAGGUUACUAGUAAUGAAGAGGCAGGGCUGAUUGGAGCAUUCAAAGAUGGUGCUGAAAGGCUUGCAAUGGCUAUUGAGAAGGCUAGUUCAGAUGACCUACCACCUGACUUGCUUCAAACAUUGCAAAGUAUUCCAGGUUUUGAUGACACACACAAGGCCUUUUACUUUGCAUAUCUAGUGAAAAAUCCUGGAUUAGCAAGGCAGUUCCCUACUCUCCCAUUGACAUAUCAGAUAAGUUUUCUUGCUCGGUUCGUUAGUGAGACCUUUCCUUAGAUUAUGAGGACCGGGAAUUAGGACUAUGCUGGAGGUUAAGUGGAAAUUAGAACUAUGUUGUUCUUUUGUUAUGUAAACCAUGACCAAUACUUUGUUUUCAAGUACUGGUAUUGAAAUAAUGGCUUUGCUAUGUCGAAAUACUCGGUUUGUUAUGAAAUACUGGGUUUGUUAUGACCAACA